rnacentral:rRNA from 2 species
AAGGAUCAUUACCGAGUAAUUGGUCGCUAUUUUUAAUGGCACCAACUCCACCCUAGUGUUUACUAUAACUUGUUGUCUCUGGCAAAGCGUUUUUGCUUAAACCAUUGAUAGGGAUAAACCUAUGAAUGUGUCUUUGCCAAAGUAAUUACUACUCUUACUUUUUAAUGAUUGUCUGAGUUAUCAAAUAAAUUGAAUUAAAACUUUCAACAACGGAUCUCUUGGUUCUGGCAUCGAUGAAGAACGCAGCGAAAUGCGAUAAGUAAUGUGAAUUGCAGAAUUCAGUGAAUCAUCGAAUCUUUGAACGCAUAUUGCACCUUUGAGUAUUCUCUGAGGUAUACCUGUUUGAGCGUCGUUUAACACUAUAAAGCUUUGCUUUUUUUUAGAAUUUGGUUAGAAAUAUCCAAUUUCUCAAACAAAGUGGCGUCAUUUUUUUGUCGAUAUACAGUGAAAAUGUGUACUUGAUAACGAAAUGAUCAUUUCGCCCAUCUCAUUAAAUUUGUUCGACCUCAAAUCAAGUAAGACUACCCGCUGAACUUAAG